GGUUAUUUCUACUAAUUAAAAAAUUAUAGGAAUUUCAGCUUUUCUCUCAAGAACACAAUUCAAUUUCAUCGGCACUUCGCAUCAAAUUGCCUUUACGGGAUAAUCGAGCUCUUUCGACGAGAUUUGGAACUCGAAUUUCGCAAAAAUUGAAAGGAAGGAAAUGCGAAUUAGAGGAGAGACAAAUUUAACCGAUCGAGUUUUGCUGAAAUGGGGUUUGAAGGUGAAGAUCAGCUUCACUCAAUUACUACAAGUUCUGUGAAACUCAAGCUUCCUAGAAAGUAUAUCCAUCCAGACAACAUGUUUGCUGAGGGAAAUUUAAACCUUGAGCUGAAAAGAAUUCGGGAUGAAUUCAAAAUGCACGAGUCAGAUUGUGGUUCAACACGUGCUCAAAGAAGGAAGGAGUAUUUAGGGUUUCGUCGGGCCAAGGAUGAUGAUUGUAGACUGUCGAGGAAGCACUUGUCGAAUGGUCUUAUGGAUAUUUACAGAUCUAAGUCACCUUAGCUUUUUGUUGGCAAGGAAUAUCCUUGACUCUCAUCAACCAGAUUUAAUCAGUUUACAAGGCAACACCUGAAGGCCAUAUACCGGACAGAAUGGGAUUCAUUUGUCAGUGGAAGGUCGUCCUGGUGAAAAAUCUUCCUUAUAUGGACAUGAGGAGAGGGAAAAUUCCAAAGCUGUUGUGUCAUAGACUUUUCCCUUCAGCAAGGUAUUCAAUUUGGUUGGAUAGCAAGUUGCGAUCCAACGUGAUCCUCUGUUGUUAUUGGAGCACUUCUUAUGGAGAAAGUCAUUGUGUCUGGGAGGAGAUGGAUCGGAAUAAGAAGCUUAACAAAUACAACCAUACCGUUUUUCUUCAAGGCAAUGCAUCGCAUUCAAUUGUAUGCUAGAACCGGUGAUCAGAAUAGUUGACUGCCACAAACGUUUACAGUAUAUGAAUUUGAUGCCAAUGUGAAGGGUGCCAUUGUGCUUAAGGGUUCAAUUAAAGGUAGUUAAGAUGCUUUGCUGAAGACCGAAAGAAUUGAAUCAUGUAUGACACAUAAAUAUCAAAAUUUUAUCAUCUUAGUGUAUAAGUUAAUAUUGGAGCUGAAAUCCAUGUAGUUUAUCAUCGUCUUUUUUUCUUGAUGAGAUAAUAGGUGUCUUGUUAUUCUACUCCUAAAUUUUGAUUAACACGACGUAGUCUAAUAAGAUUGAAAUCUAAUUCCAUGUAUAUGAAAAAUUCGUUUAUUU